AGAGUUUGAUCCUGGCUCAGAUUGAACGCUGGCGGCAGGCUUAACACAUGCAAGUCGAGCGGGGAAGAGUAGCUUGCUACUUAACCUAGCGGCGGACGGGGGAGUAAUGCUUAGGAAUCUGCCUAUUAGUGGGGGACAACAUCUCGAAAGGGAUGCUAAUACCGCAUACGUCCUACGGGAGAAAGCAGGGGACCUUCGGGCCUUGCGCUAAUAGAUGAGCCUAAGUCGGAUUAGCUAGUUGGUGGGGUAAAGGCCUACCAAGGCGACGAUCUGUAGCGGGUCUGAGAGGAUGAUCCGCCACACUGGGACUGAGACACGGACCAGACUCCUACGGGAGGCAGCAGUGAGGAAUAUUGGUCAAUGGACGCAAGUCUGAACCAGCCAUGCCGCGUGCAGGAUGACGGUCCUAUGGAUUGUAAACUGCUUUUGUACAGGAAGAAACAGUUCUACGUGUAGAACCUUGACGGUACUGUAAGAAUAAGGAUCGGCUAACUCCGUGCCAGCAGCCGCGGUAAUACGGAGGAUCCAAGCGUUAUCCGGAAUCAUUGGGUUUAAAGGGUCCGUAGGCGGUUUAGUAAGUCAGUGGUGAAAGCCCAUCGCUCAACGGUGGAACGGCCAUUGAUACUGCUAGACUUGAAUUAUUAGGAAGUAACUAGAAUAUGUAGUGUAGCGGUGAAAUGCUUAGAGAUUACAUGGAAUACCAAUUGCGAAGGCAGGUUACUACUAAUGGAUUGACGCUGAUGGACGAAAGCGUGGGUAGCGAACAGGAUUAGAUACCCUGGUAGUCCACGCCGUAAACGAUGGAUACUAGCUGUUGGGGGCAACUUCUGCUUUAGUGGCGCAGCUAACGCGAUAAGUAGACCGCCUGGGGAGUACGGUCGCAAGACUAAAACUCAAAUGAAUUGACGGGGGCCCGCACAAGCGGUGGAGCAUGUGGUUUAAUUCGAUGCAACGCGAAGAACCUUACCUGGCCUUGACAUACAGAGAACUUUCCAGAGAUGGAUUGGUGCUUUCGGGAGCAUAGAGACAGGUGCUGCAUGGCUGUCGUCAGCUCGUGUCGUGAGAUGUUGGGUUAAGUCCCGUAACGAGCGCAACCCUUGUCCUUAGUUACCAGCACGUUAUGGUGGGCACUCUAAGGAGACUGCCGGUGACAAACCGGAGGAAGGUGGGGAUGACGUCAAGUCAUCAUGGCCCUUACGGCCAGGGCUACACACGUGCUACAAUGGUCGGUACAAAGGGUCGCCAAGCCGCGAGGUGGAGCUAAUCCCAUAAAACCGAUCGUAGUCCGGAUCGCAGUCUGCAACUCGACUGCGUGAAGUCGGAAUCGCUAGUAAUCGUGAAUCAGAAUGUCACGGUGAAUACGUUCCCGGGCCUUGUACACACCGCCCGUCACACCAUGGGAGUGGGUUGCACCAGAAGUAGCUAGUCUAACCUUCGGGGGGACGGUUACCACGGUGUGAUUCAUGACUGGGGUGAAGUCGUAACAAGGUAACCU
rnacentral:rRNA from 1 species